rnacentral:ncRNA from 1 species
UUUAAAGGCAAAUCUGCUGAAAGGCAGGGACGCAAAGUUAGAAGGGGCUAAAGUCAGAAAGAUUGACCAGGUCAGCCAGUUGCCA